GGAUCAUGAUAUUCACUGGUGUCAGUUUCGCACAGUUAUGUCUUUUGUCACUUCCUGCGUUUUUGUAAAAAAUAGUCGUUACUCAGUCAUUAUGUUAAGAGAAUCAUCAAAGUUCUUUGCUAUAAAAGCGAAUGGUGUAAAUUUCGAGGUAUAUAAUUUAGUCAGCGUGUCCGAAGCGUAUUUAGAAAGAGCUGUUGGGAAACGUAUAAAAGUACAGGGAUGGGUUCGUGCAGUUCGGAAAAUGAAGGAUUAUUCUUUUGUGGAUCUGAAUGAUGGUUCUACUAGUGAACUGUUGCAAGUUGUUAUCAAGAAAUGCGACCAACCAGCGGAUUUAUCUUAUGGUAGUAGUGUGGCUGCCGAAGGUGAGUUAACGUUAGCUCCCAAUGGCAAAAUGGAAUUAUGUGCUAGUGAUAUCAAAGUCAUGGGCAAGUGCGUAGUCACAGAUGGAUACCCAUUUUACCCUAAGAAAGUGUAUUCUAGUGAAUACGUACGAGAGUUUCUGCAUUUUAGACCGCGAACUAAGACAUUCGCCAGUAUAUUAAGAUUACGAGACAUCGCUACCUCGGUUAUCUACGAGCAUUUGAGAAGCAGAGGUUUCAUCAAUGUUGAUACUCCCAUCAUCACUUCAAAUGAUUGUGAAGGAGCAGGUGAAGUUUUUACAGUAAAACCAGACUCUGAGAAGAUUUUAGAAUCAAUGAAGAAAGCUGGAAUAUCUCCGGAUCACGCUUAUUUUGAUACCAAAACAUAUCUGACGGUUUCCGGCCAGCUUCAGUUAGAAGCUGCUGCAAGCAAUAAUUUUUACAGGGCACUCACAAAGGUUUUUAAUUUUGGUCCUACGUUCAGAGCCGAGAAUUCCAAGUCACGAUUACAUUUAUCUGAGUUUUAUAUGCUUGAAGCAGAAUCAGCGUUUGUAACGACACUUAAAGAUAUCACAGAAGAAAUAGAACUCCUCAUAAAGUCAGUGACAAGAGCUCUGAUAAAAAAAGGUGCAACGGAUAUCCGACUACUAGAAGCACCUGAACCGGACUGGAUAGAUAAAAAGUUCGGUUACAUUACUUAUGACGAGGCUGUAAAAAUUCUGGAUAAUCAUGGAAAUCAUCUUACUUUUCCUUUGAAAUAUGGGGAUUCUUUUUCAAAGGAACACGAACUUUUUUUAGUGCAACAUAAUAACGGGGUUCCUAUUUUCAUUGUUAAUUGGCCAAAAAGGAUUAAACCUUUCUACAUGAGGGGGUGCCAAGACGAUGCAUCAAAGAAGCUAUAACAUGACGAUGGAGAAGAAACUGAUGGCGGAAACACGUAGUGGAAGGUCAGUUUUUCGCCUACACAAAUACAACACAAGAUCAUCGGAGGAAGUCUUUCAUAAAAAAAAAUUAUAUCUUCGAAAAAAGAUACUAUGAUGCGGACACUUCAUAAACUUCGGAAGAUGGUUGAACAGUAGGACAAAUGUGAAACGGUCAUGCUCUCCACUUCAGGUUCGUCACGUGCUAUCUCAGUUACGCUCCCGAGUUUAGUUGCGUCACCGGCUACUUCAGUGACGUCGCGUACAAAUUCUCUUACGUCACCCGCAACUUCUGCAUCGCCUGCAGCUUCAGUUGCGGCUUCGACUUCGUACCCCACUCCAGUUGCACCAGGAAAUAGGCAAAUUUCUUUUGCAUAUCACAAAGUUUAUGAAUCGUCUCCUAAAGGUUAUUGCCCGUCUGCGACGAAACCUCCUCGCAACCUUUGUUUUUGGAUAAAUCCCAUUCGCAUGUGAAAUAAACUCGAGAUGAAUCUAUGUUUAUGUAUUCUGAUGAGUGAGAUUUUUCAUGUCAUACAUAACUCUAAGGCUACAAAGAAGGCUGCAGUUGCAUAUAAAAAAAGAAAAUAAGAAGAGAAAUUACAAGAACAAAAAAAGUUACAAGAAGAGAGAAAA